rnacentral:rRNA from 1 species
AACGAACGCUGGCGGCAUGCCUAACACAUGCAAGUCGAACGAGUUCUUCGGGUCUAGUGGCGCACGGGUGCGUAACGCGUGGGAAUCUGCCCUUUGGUUCGGAAUAACAGUUGGAAACGACUGCUAAUACCGGAUGAUGACGAAAGUCCAAAGAUUUAUCGCCAGAGGAUGAGCCCGCGUAGGAUUAGCUAGUUGGUGUGGUAAAGGCGCACCAAGGCGACGAUCCUUAGCUGGUCUGAGAGGAUGAUCAGCCACACUGGGACUGAGACACGGCCCAGACUCCUACGGGAGGCAGCAGUGGGGAGUAUUGGACAAUGGGCGAAAGCCUGAUCCAGCAAUGCCGCGUGAGUGAUGAAGGCCUUAGGGUUGUAAAGCUCUUUUACCCGGGAUGAUAAUGACAGUACCGGGAGAAUAAGCUCCGGCUAACUCCGUGCCAGCCGCCGCAGUAA